AAAAUGGUCCUUUUAGGGACCAAACUAUUGGCCGAAAAAAAUGAAU
rfam:Punica granatum cultivar Dabenzi scaffold502, whole genome shotgun sequence.